rnacentral:rRNA from 1 species
AGCGAACGCUGGCGGCAGGCCUAACACAUGCAAGUCGAACGAACCUUUCGGGGUUAGUGGCGGACGGGUGAGUAACACGUGGGAACGUGCCUUUAGGUUCGGAAUAACUCAGGGAAACUUGUGCUAAUACCGAAUGUGCCCUUCGGGGGAAAGAUUUAUCGCCUUUAGAGCGGCCCGCGUCUGAUUAGCUAGUUGGUUGAGGUAAUGGCUCACCAAGGCGACGAUCAGUAGCUGGUCUGAGAGGAUGAUCAGCCACAUUGGGACUGAGACACGGCCCAAACUCCUGCGGGAGGCAGCAGUGGGGAAUCUUGCGCAAUGGGCGAAAGCCUGACGCAGCCAUGCCGGGUGAAUGAUGAAGGUCUUAGGAUUGUAAAAUUCUUUCACCGGGGACGAUAAUGACGGUACCCGGAGAAGAAGCCCCGGCUAACUUCGUG